GCGCACGGGUGCGUAACGCGUAUGCAACCUACCUUAAUCAGGGGGAUAGCCCGAAGAAAUUCGGAUUAACACCGCAUAAAAUCACAGUAUAGCAUUGUACAAUGAUCAAAUAUUUAUAGGAUUAAGAUGGGCAUGCGUGACAUUAGUUAGUUGGCGGGGUAACGGCCCACCAAGACCACGAUGUCUAGGGGAUCUGAGAGGAUGACCCCCCACACUGGUACUGAGACACGGACCAGACUCCUACGGGAGGCAGCAGUAAGGAAUAUUGGUCAAUGGAGGCAACUCUGAACCAGCCAUGCCGCGUGCAGGAAGACAGCCUCUGGGUCGUAAACUGCUUUUAUUCGGGAAUAAACCACAUUACGUGUAGUGUGCUGAAUGUACCGAAGGAAUAAGGAUCGGCUAACUCCGUGCCAGCAGCCGCGGUAAUACGGAGGAUCCAAGCGUUAUCCGGAUUUAUUGGGUUUAAAGGGUGCGUAGGCGGCUUUUUAAGUCAGGGGUGAAAGACGGUGGCUCAACCAUCGCAGUGCCCUUGAUACUGAAGAGCUUGAAUGAACUAGAGGUAGGCGGAAUGUGACAAGUAGCGGUGAAAUGCAUAGAUAUGUCACAGAACACCGAUUGCGAAGGCAGCUUACUAUGGUUAAAUUGACGCUGAGGCACGAAAGCGUGGGGAUCAAACAGGAUUAGAUACCCUGGUAGUCCACGCCCUAAACGAUGAAUACUCGCUGUUAGCGAUACACAGUUAGCGGCUAAGCGAAAGCGUUAAGUAUUCCACCUGGGGAGUACGGUCGCAAGAUUGAAACUCAAAGGAAUUGACGGGGGCCCGCACAAGCGGAGGAGCAUGUGGUUUAAUUCGAUGAUACGCGAGGAACCUUACCCGGGCUUGAAAGUUAGUGAAUCAUUUAGAGAUAGAUGAGUCCGCAAGACGAAACUAGGUGCUGCAUGGCUGUCGUCAGCUCGUGCCGUGAGUGGUUGGGUUAAGUCCCGCAACGAGCGCAACCCCUAUGUUUAGUUGCCAGCACGUCAUGGUGGGGACUCUAAACAGACUGCCUGUGCAAACAGAGAGGAAGGAGGGGACAACGUCAAGUCAUCAUGGCCCUUACGUCCGGGGCUACACACGUGCUACAAUGGAUGGUACAGAGGGCAGCAAGCUGGUAACAGCAAGCAAAUCUCCAAAAGCCAUUCACAGUUCGGAUAGAGGUCUGCAACUCGACCUCUUGAAGUUGGAUUCGCUAGUAAUCGUAUAUCAGCAAUGAUACGGUGAAUACGUUCCCGGGCCUUGUACACACCGCCCGUCAAGCCAUGGAAGUUGGGGGUACUAAAGUAUGUAACCGCAAGAGCGUC
rnacentral:rRNA from 1 species